rnacentral:rRNA from 1 species
CCUACGGGAGGCAGCAGUGGGGAAUAUUGCACAAUGGGGGAAACCCUGAUGCAGCAACGCCGCGUGAAGGAAGACGGUUUUCGGAUUGUAAACUUCUGUUCUUAGUGAAGAAUAAUGCCGUUAGCUAAUGAGCAAGCCACGGCUACCUACGUGCCAGCAGCCGCGGUAAUACGUAGGUGGCAAGCGUUGUCCGGAAUUACUGGGUGUAAAGGGAGCGCAGGCGGGAAGCCAAGUCAGCUGUGAAAACGACGGGCUUAACUUGUAGACUGCAGUUGAAACUGGUUUUCUUGAGUGAAGUAGGGGUUGGCGGAAUUCCGAGUGUAGCGGUGAAAUGCGUAGAUAUUAGGAGGAACACCAGUGGCGAAGGCGGCCAACUGGGCUGUAACUGACGCUGAGGCUCGAAAGUGUGGGGAGCAAACAGGAUUAGAUACCCUAGUAGUC